rnacentral:rRNA from 1 species
AAUAGAUACCCCGGUAGUCCUUGCCGUAAACGAUGUAUACUUGAUGUAACUAGAUUCAACCCUAGUUGUGUCGGAGCUAACGCGUUAAGUAUACCGCCUGGAAAGUACGCACGCAAGUGUGAAACCCAAAAGAAUUGACGGGGGCCCGCACAAGCAGUGGAGCACGUGGUUUAAUUCGAUGCAACGCGAAGAACCUUACCCAGGCUUGACAUGCAGAGGACUGCUACAGAAAUGUAGUUUCCCUUCGGGGCCUUUGCACAGGUGCUGCAUGGCUGUCGUCAGCUCGUGCCGUGAGGUGUUGGGUUAAGUCCCGCAACGAGCGCAACCCUUAUCAUUAGUUGCCAACACGUUAUGGUGGGGACUCUAAUGAGACUGCCCAGGUUAACUGGGAGGAAGGUGAGGAUGACGUCAAGUCCGCAUGGCCCUUAUGCCUGGGGCUACACACGUGCUACAAUGGUCGGUACAGAGGGCAGCAAAGCCGCGAGGUGGAGCAAAUCUCACAAAACCGAUCUCAGUUCGGAUUG